rnacentral:tRNA from 1 species
GGUUGUGGCUCAGUGGUAGAGUGUGCACCUAGCACAUGUGAGGCCCUGGGUUCGAUCCUUGGCACCA